GAGUUUGAUUCUGGCUCAGGACAAACGCUGGCGGCGUGCUUAACACAUGCAAGUCGAACGAUGAAACGGAACGGAAAUUUUCGGAUGGAAGUUCUGUGGAUUAGUGGCGGACGGGUGAGUAAUGCAUGAAGAACCUGCCUUUCACAUAGGAAUAGCCUCGGGAAACCGGGAUUAAUACCAAAUGACACUCCGAGAUCGCAUGGUUUCGGGGUUAAAGAUUUUAUCGGUGAAAGAUGGCUUCAUGUCCCAUUAGCUGGUUGGUGAGGUAACGGCUCACCAAGGCGACGAUGGGUAGCCGGCCUGAGAGGGUGAACGGCCACAUUGGAACUGAGACACGGUCCAAACUCCUACGGGAGGCAGCAGUGGGGAAUAUUGCACAAUGGAGGAAACUCUGAUGCAGCGACGCCGCGUGAGCGAUGAAGGUCUUCGGAUCGUAAAGCUCUGUCCUAAGGGACGAUAAU
rnacentral:rRNA from 1 species